AAAUUAAUUUCUCCAAUAUUCUUUUUUUUUUUUUUUCUUUUCACAGACUUCAAAAAUUUUCACAAUAAUUAUUUUAUUUUCUUCGAGCUUGCUGGGCUCAUAACCUAUUAGAUUGAAAAGUUUUAUUGAAGUGAAAUUUGAAAAAAUAAUUUCUCGAACAUACAAAUACAUAAAAUCAUUGCCUAGUAACAUAAUAACAAAGAACGAUACAAGUAGAUAUUAAUUUGUUAAACAUAUACUUCAACAAUAUCAACUCUCGAAAAAUAGAACUUCUACCGAAAUUAGUGUGGAGGGACUCACUUAAGGAUCAAUAUCAGAGAAACGUAACUAAGAAUUUGUACGGGGUUUAAGGGGAAGACAUAUACAUAGUGCAAAAAAUGAUAUCUAAAUUGGAGGACAACUGUGCAAAAUGGAAUCUGAUAGUCAAAACAGACGAAUCAAAAAUUAUGAUAUUCAAAAAAGGUGGAAGACAUUCUGGGCAAGAUAGGUGGACAUACCGUGGAGAAGAAAUUGAAAUAUGUUCUCAAUACAACUAACGAGGCAUUAUUUUAAUAUCACAAAUGAAGUUUCUAUUGAACAUACAGAAUAGAAAUGAGCAAGCAAAGGCUGCAAUAAAUAUUA